UAAGCGACUAAGCGUACACGGUGGAUGCCCUGGCAGUCAGAGGCGAUGAAGGACGUGCUAAUCUGCGAUAAGCGUCGGUAAGGUGAUAUGAACCGUUAUAACCGGCGAUUUCCGAAUGGGGAAACCCAGUGUGAUUCGUCACACUAUCAUUAACUGAAUCCAUAGGUUAAUGAGGCGAACCGGGGGAACUGAAACAUCUAAGUACCCCGAGGAAAAGAAAUCAACCGAGAUUCCCCCAGUAGCGGCGAGCGAACGGGGAGGAGCCCAGAGCCUGAAUCAGUGUGUGUGUUAGUGGAAGCGUCUGGAAAGGCGCGCGAUACAGGGUGUCAGCCCCGUACACAAAAAUGCACAUGCUGUGAGCUCGAUGAGUAGGGCGGGACACGUGGUAUCCUGUCUGAAUAUGGGGGGACCAUCCUCCAAGGCUAAAUACUCCUGACUGACCGAUAGUGAACCAGUACCGUGAGGGAAAGGCGAAAAGAACCCCGGCGAGGGGAGUGAAAAAGAACCUGAAACCGUGUACGUACAAGCAGUGGGAGCACGCUUAGGCGUGUGACUGCGUACCUUUUGUAUAAUGGGUCAGCGACUUAUAUUCUGUAGCAAGGUUAACCGAAUAGGGGAGCCGAAGGGAAACCGAGUCUUAACUGGGCGUUAAGUUGCAGGGUAUAGACCCGAAACCCGGUGAUCUAGCCAUGGGCAGGUUGAAGGUUGGGUAACACUAACUGGAGGACCGAACCGACUAAUGUUGAAAAAUUAGCGGAUGACUUGUGGCUGGGGGUGAAAGGCCAAUCAAACCGGGAGAUAGCUGGUUCUCCCCGAAAGCUAUUUAGGUAGCGCCUCGUGAAUUCAUCUCCGGGGGUAGAGCACUGUUUCGGCAAGGGGGUCAUCCCGACUUACCAACCCGAUGCAAACUGCGAAUACCGGAGAAUGUUAUCACGGGAGACACACGGCGGGUGCUAACGUCCGUCGUGAAGAGGGAAACAACCCAGACCGCCAGCUAAGGUCCCAAAGUCAUGGUUAAGUGGGAAACGAUGUGGGAAGGCCCAGACAGCCAGGAUGUUGGCUUAGAAGCAGCCAUCAUUUAAAGAAAGCGUAAUAGCUCACUGGUCGAGUCGGCCUGCGCGGAAGAUGUAACGGGGCUAAACCAUGCACCGAAGCUGAGGCAGCGACGCUGAUGCGUUGUUGGGUAGGGGAGCGUUCUGUAAGCCUGUGAAGGUGUGCUGUGAGGCAUGCUGGAGGUAUCAGAAGUGCGAAUGCUGACAUAAGUAACGAUAAAGCGGGUGAAAAGCCCGCUCGCCGGAAGACCAAGGGUUCCUGUCCAACGUUAAUCGGGGCAGGGUGAGUCGACCCCUAAGGCGAGGCCGAAAGGCGUAGUCGAUGGGAAACAGGUUAAUAUUCCUGUACUUGGUGUUACUGCGAAGGGGGGACGGAGAAGGCUAUGUUGGCCGGGCGACGGUUGUCCCGGUUUAAGCGUGUAGGCUGGUUUUCCAGGCAAAUCCGGAAAACUAAGGCUGAGGCGUGAUGACGAGGCACUACGGUGCUGAAGCAACAAAUGCCCAGCUUCCAGGAAAAGCCUCUAAGCAUCAGGUAACAUCAAAUCGUACCCCAAACCGACACAGGUGGUCAGGUAGAGAAUACCAAGGCGCUUGAGAGAACUCGGGUGAAGGAACUAGGCAAAAUGGUGCCGUAACUUCGGGAGAAGGCACGCUGAUAUGUAGGUGAAGUCCCUCGCGGAUGGAGCUGAAAUCAGUCGAAGAUACCAGCUGGCUGCAACUGUUUAUUAAAAACACAGCACUGUGCAAACACGAAAGUGGACGUAUACGGUGUGACGCCUGCCCGGUGCCGGAAGGUUAAUUGAUGGGGUCGAGCGCAAGCGAAGCUCUUGAUCGAAGCCCCGGUAAACGGCGGCCGUAACUAUAACGGUCCUAAGGUAGCGAAAUUCCUUGUCGGGUAAGUUCCGACCUGCACGAAUGGCGUAAUGAUGGCCAGGCUGUCUCCACCCGAGACUCAGUGAAAUUGAACUCGCUGUGAAGAUGCAGUGUACCCGCGGCAAGACGGAAAGACCCCGUGAACCUUUACUAUAGCUUGACACUGAACAUUGAGCCUUGAUGUGUAGGAUAGGUGGGAGGCUUUGAAGUGUGGACGCCAGUCUGCAUGGAGCCGACCUUGAAAUACCACCCUCUAAUGUUUGAUGUUCUAACGUUGACCCGUAAUCCGGGUUGCGGACAGUGUCUGGUGGGUAGUUUGACUGGGGCGGUCUCCUCCUAAAGAGUAACGGAGGAGCACGGAGGUUGGCUAAUCCUGGUCGGACAUCAGGAGGUUAGUGCAAUGGCAUAAGCCAGCUUGACUGCGAGCGUGACGGCGCGAGCAGGUGCGAAAGCAGGUCAUAGUGAUCCGGUGGUUCUGAAUGGAAGGGCCAUCGCUCAACGGAUAAAAGGUACUCCGGGGAUAACAGGCUGAUACCGCCCAAGAGUUCAUAUCGACGGCGGUGUUUGGCACCUCGAUGUCGGCUCAUCACAUCCUGGGGCUGAAGUAGGUCCCAAGGGUAUGGCUGUUCGCCAUUUAAAGUGGUACGCGAGCUGGGUUUAGAACGUCGUGAGACAGUUCGGUCCCUAUCUGCCGUGGGCGCUGGAGAACUGAGGGGGGCUGCUCCUAGUACGAGAGGACCGGAGUGGACGCAUCACUGGUGUUCGGGUUGUCAUGCCAAUGGCACUGCCCGGUAGCUAAAUGCGGAAGAGAUAAGUGCUGAAAGCAUCUAAGCACGAAACUUGCCCCGAGAUGAGUUCUCCCUGACCCUUUAAGGGUCCUGAAGGAACGUUGAAGACGACGACGUUGAUAGGCCGGGUGUGUAAGCGCAGCGAUGCGUUGAGCUAACCGGUACUAAUGAACCGUGAGGCUUAACCU
rnacentral:rRNA from 1 species